CAGUACUUAAAGAUACUCCAUAUUCUUGACUUUUCUCUCUUUUAUUACCUGGCUAACUAUAUAGUAUUCUACACAUAUCUUAGAAAUUAGAAAUAAUCUUUUUUUCCUGCACUUUCAAGGAUAAAAGGUACACAACAGGGACAUAAAAUACCAAGACCUAGGUAGACUCCAUGAGGUGAGUUGUUAACUUUUACAUAUUCUUCUGAGUGUUCACAAAGGCCAACCAUUG
rnacentral:lncRNA from 1 species